UUGCAAAGGGUAAGUCUUAUACGACCAGCUCCCGGUAAACUCCCCCAGGUCUGGAAGGAAGCAAGGGUAAUCGGUUGUAGCGGUGCGAUAUAAGUAGCUUACCCUUUU
rfam:Bacteroidetes bacterium 38_7 MPI_scaffold_2694, whole genome shotgun sequence.